rnacentral:rRNA from 1 species
CCGAGGAAAAGAAAUCAACCGAGAUUCCCCCAGUAGCGGCGAGCGAACGGGGAGCAGCCCAGAGCCUGAAUCAGUGUGUGUGUUAGUGGAAGCGUCUGGAAAGGCGUGCGAUACAGGGUGACAGCCCCGUACACAAAAAUGCACAUAUUGUGAGCUCGAUGAGUAGGGCGGGACACGUGGUAUCCUGUCUGAAUAUGGGGGGACCAUCCUCCAAGGCUAAAUACUCCUGACUGACCGAUAGUGAACCAGUACCGUGAGGGAAAGGCGAAAAGAACCCCGGCGAGGGGAGUGAAAAAGAACCUGAAACCGUGUACGUACAAGCAGUGGGAGCACGCUUAGGCGUGUGACUGCGUACCUUUUGUAUAAUGGGUCAGCGACUUAUAUUCUGUAGCAAGGUUAACCGAAUAGGGGAGCCGAAGGGAAACCGAGUCUUAACUGGGCGUUAAGUUGCAGGGUAUAGACCCGAAACCCGGUGAUCUAGCCAUGGGCAGGUUGAAGGUUGGGUAACACUAACUGGAGGACCGAACCGACUAAUGUUGAAAAAUUAGCGGAUGACUUGUGGCUGGGGGUGAAAGGCCAAUCAAACCGGGAGAUAGCUGGUUCUCCCCGAAAGCUAUUUAGGUAGCGCCUCGUGAAUUCAUCUCCGGGGGUAGAGCACUGUUUCGGCAAGGGGGUCAUCCCGACUUACCAACCCGAUGCAAACUGCGAAUACCGGAGAAUGUUAUCACGGGAGACACACGGCGGGUGCUAACGUCCGUCGUGAAGAGGGAAACAACCCAGACCGCCAGCUAAGGUCCCAAAGUCAUGGUUAAGUGGGAAACGAUGUGGGAAGGCCCAGACAGCCAGGAUGUUGGCUUAGAAGCAGCCAUCAUUUAAAGAAAGCGUAAUAGCUCACUGGUCGAGUCGGCCUGCGCGGAAGAUGUAACGGGGCUAAACCAUGCAC